rnacentral:lncRNA from 1 species
UGGGCAUCCAUACUCUAGCUCUUCUUAAUUUUCAUGCAUGUUUCUUUCCAGACUUGAUCUUACUACUAAAUAGCUCACCUGUUGUUUUCUGUUUUCUUGUUGGCAGAUAUUUUGAGUAAAUUCAAGACGAAAGAUGUUCAAAGAAGCUCCAAGACAUUCUUAUAUAGCAAGUUCUGUAAUAAUAGCUGGGUUAUCUAGGAAUUUAAUGUAUCUUCUCUUUGUUUGUGAAUGAAAUAGUAAUUAUGUAUGUGAUUUAAUGUAUCUUCUCUUUGUUUGUGAAUUUCAUGUAUGUUUCAGAAUUACAAUUUCUGUUUCAUAUGAAAUAGUAAUUAUGUAUGUGAUUUGAAAAUGUGUGCAAUGGAAACAUGACUC